rnacentral:rRNA from 1 species
GACGAACGCUGGCGGCGUGCUUAACACAUGCAAGUCGAACGGGAUUUAGUAAACAGAAACCUCGGUGGAAGAUUACUAAUGAGAGUGGCGAACGGGUGAGUAACGCGUGAGCAACCUGCCUAUGACAGUGGGAUAGCCUCGGGAAACCGGGAUUAAUACCGCAUAAAAUCGUAGAAACACAUGUUUCAACGGUCAAAAGAUUUAUCGGUCAUAGAUGGGCUCGCGUCUGAUUAGCUAGUUGGUGAGAUAACAGCCCACCAAAGGCGACGAUCAGUAGCCGGUCUGAGAGGAUGAACGGCCACAUUGGAACUGAGACACGGUCCAAA